AGCGCGGCUACUGCGCUGGGGCGAAGCUCCGUGUGGCUGUGUCUGCGGCGCGACUCUUGGGGCUUGCGAAUUCAUUUAAAGAGGUGAUGUGCUAGUCCCAAGCCAAGGCACCAGGAUAUCUUGCAUGCUUCUACUUCUUCUCCUGAAGACUUCCGUGCUGUCAUUUGCUAGCCUUCAUCUCCCUAGGGUAAGCUUACUUGAGGAUGAGAGACUAUUGGAGCAGAACCAAAUCACCCCAACCAAGGAUACUCAGAGAUAGCUAGUUGAAUGCAGUCCACAUUACCAAAUGACAGAAAUUGGAGUUUAAAAAUAUUUUGGGGGCCUCCCUGGUGGCACAAGGGGUUAAGCACUGCACUUUGAAGCAAUCUACAGCCACUGCAGCAUGAGUUCGAUCCUCAGCAGGCCAGGGAGCAACCCACAUGGCGAAGCAGACCUCUCCUAUCUCACCCGCAAUUCCACUCAGCAGUGUAUUUCAGUCAGUCUGCCUCUUGUGUUUCCCGCUCUGUCUCUGGUGAAUCCUCUCACCCCCUGCAUCCCUGGCUUGUACCCCGCCUCUUGU